rnacentral:lncRNA from 1 species
GUGGAUGGGUCUUAAGCAAGUUAAGUAACAGGAUUACAUUUAUGUUGUAGAAAGACAGGGAAUGGAUUGGCAUGGUAGAAACCUCUGAUUUUACUUCUGAUUCAACAACCAGCUGGGUUUCUUGGGUUUGCCCCUCAACUCCCCUCCUUGGGGACGAGUUCAUAUGUGACCCCCAUCUCCCUCUGUCUGAUAGCUGUCCUUGGGCAACACACCCACCAGGAGCUCGCGGAAACAGGACCAUUCUCUUGCAGGGCCAGAGCCCGUGGCAGCCUGUUCCCAAAGCCCAGAGGAAGGCAGACAGCUAUAAUCAUUUGGCAAACUAAGGUUACCACUGCUUCUAAGACAUAACAUGCUUGAAUUUAACAAACGUGUGCAAAUGAUAAUCUUGAAAUUUCAACUAAGGAUUCUAGGCUGGAUCAAUAUUGUCACAGAAUCACAGUUUUUGGAAGGUAGUUAGAUCUUCUAUACAUUGACAAUUAAUUUUCUUUCUCAACAGAACUGCAAACCAAUUCCCAAUUAAUGAAUUUGCUGAGUAGUUCCUCCCCAAGGAGAGUCAGUCUGGCAGAGACAUUCAGCUCUAGCUGAGGCCAGGCUAGAUCUGUUGGACCAGAGUCGACCUGCAGACCUGUGAACAUGAGCAUAAGUGUUCGCUGAGAGCCAAGGAGUUUUGGCCAGUGUCCACAUCCUGCUCACAUUUGGGACAUCUGUGAGGCAGGGUGCCUCCUUUUUGUCCCUCCAAGAGGACAGUUGGGGGACUUGGCCUCUGGCCGCCUCAAGUUGGGUCAGCACCUGCUGGGCCUCAUCCUGGUUCAUCGUGCAUCAAUGGGAGCGCACCUGGGUUCUGCUGACAUGUGAGAGCUUCUUCACCGAGGGGUUCAGAAAAGUGUGCUCAUGGCCUGUAGAUCUGGAUUCAAAGGGAGAUGAGAAAAAUAGGAACUGAGCCCGUGGCUUGCCUCACCCACUUCCUGAGCCUGCGCAAGGGACAAGACUUUCCUGUGUGGCCUUCUUACGGCAGUCCACAGGGAAGUGGCCUCAUUUUCUGUGUCUGUCCUGCCCAGCGCCCCCACUCUCCUGUGCUGGUCCCAGGCCAUCCCUUAGCCAGAGUGCAGAACUCCAGACCCCCAAUAUUCUCUCAUAUCCUCAGAAUCUUCAGCUUCCAUCCAUGGAUGUUGGCUGAAUCCUGAGUGGGGUCGUAGAAAGAUCUGGUCCUGUGAGUAGGGGGGCGAGGAGGAAGGCAGGGACUUCAGCUGGGCUGUCUACAACCUGAGUCUAAAACACCUAAAGACAAGCACAACUUGCCCCCGCUAGGACGAAUUUCUUGCUCCAGACCGCCUCACUGCAUCUCUAGGGCCAUGUGUAUUCCUGCUAUUUGGCCACAUUCCUUGAGAAAAAUUGCCUAUUAAAAGAAUUUCCUUAUUCAC